rnacentral:lncRNA from 1 species
CCGAAGUAGUCUCAGCUUCGUGGAUAGUUUGCAGUUUGGGAGAGCCUGUGUUUUGUGUGGGAACGCGAAUUUUCUGGAGAAAUAUCAGAAUAGGGACUGGGUACAAGAGAAGGCUCAGCCAGUAAAGCCAGUAAGGCUGGCUGAAAACUUUUUAUGGAGCCAAGGAUGACCAGAGCGUCUUCUCUUCCUGAUUCCUCAAGCUGACUGCUAGAAUCACAGAGGCUCUCACUGGACCUGGAGCUCACUGAGUGGCUACACUGACUGGGACUGCCCUGUCACAAGCCUGGGAUCAGUAUCUUUCCUUAGCCACAGAGGAAAAUCCCACAACCCUUUACUCUGUAUCAUGACUCUAAGGAUAGAACCAUGUGACUGAAGCUGUCAAGUACUGAUGCCCACUUGGGAUGAAGUCUGGCUUCCUCGUUGAAUUACAUUUGUAUAAGGCUGAUUGACAAGUCCAGCAGAAAGCCCAUUCUGCUGACUCACUUGCUCAGCAAAAGCAUCCUCUAGAAAUGUCUGCAGGGCAGGAGACUUGAGUCACUUUCCCACACUGGGGAGGUGACAUUCUCUUGUAAGAAGUGAAGACUGUCUUUUGUAGAGACAUAACUUGAUGGGCUCUUUGGCAUAAUGGUGACUCUUGAACAGCUAAUAAAAUAAGAACGUGAAGUUGGUCUUCAAAACUAUUAUAAAAUGUUGAAACAGAGAUUAUCUGAGUCCUAUGUAGGAGAAAUUGGAGGUACUGGAAGAGCCGAAGAGAUAAAAAGGGUCUGGAAAAAAGCAGAACUGUGGACAAUGAUUAGCCACUGCCCUGCAGUCAGUCCAAGAAUAUAAGAAUUCAGUUCUAAACGAAUGGCUGUCCUAUCUUGUAGACCUCUUGUGCAUAGCCUAUACUGAAUCCCUAGUAAAAGCACAACCCACAGUCUCCCGGGUUCAGUUGUGAUGUAAAGGACUCUGGUGUGGCCAGAUGGGAACAAAGUUGCGAAGACCAAGGGCAGAAGCUCUUUUAGUGGGAUGAUUCCAUGUGUGAAACUGUAGCAGGGAGAUGAUAUCCUAUGACUGGUGAAAGCACUGACACAGAAAACUGAACCAUAUGGAAAUUUGGAGAGACAUCACCAGUUGUUCUAUGCUUCUGGAGUGAUGACUGGAUUUUCGGAGUAUGUGGAAAGGAACUUAAAUGUUAAAGACAAUGAAGUGUCAAGAAGUUGGCGGUAAUUCUCCACGGUUAAUCACAUGACCUUGUGGCAACUGUAUCACUUUACAAUUGUGACAGCUUCACGUCUGUCAGCAUCUUCUGCACAGUAUUAUCAUCUCAUUGUAGGAACAAAGAGACCUCACAACCUUUUAACAUGUCCACAGCUGCUGCCUUAGGCCACAUGCUUAAUAAUUAUGUGUGGGUUACAACAGGUUAAGUUGAUUGGACUUGUUCUCCACAAUGGUAAGAAAACACAUCACAUAUCAUUUUGAUUACAAAAUAUGAUAUGUGGAGUCAAAAGCUUUUCUAGCAUAGAACUCACUUUUAAAAGUUGUAAUGUAUUAGGAAAACGAAUGAAAUGACCUGAGCAGACCUGCCAUAAGAUUAAACUAUUUCCCCCAGUACUUUAGUAAAGAAUAGGCUUAGAGCAUUGCUUUUCUGGCUGUUGAAUUAUAGUUUGUAGAGUUUAAAUGUAUUAUGAUCCAGGAUUCCUCUAAUGUUUUCCUCUUCUGUAUGCUAUAUAGCAGGAUAAGUUAUGUAAAGAUAGGGGAAGGUUAUUCAUUGAGCUUCCAAUCUAUGUUUAUUUAGGACAGAAUAAAUUAUAUCAUGAAGUAUGCAAAGGGCAGCUAUCUAAGAUAUUUGGAAGCUUAUAAUUCAUACUACUCAGAAGUUAUUCUGUCAUUUUAAAAUUAUGAUUUAGGAUAGGAAACUAAUGCACAGAACUAUAUAACUUAAUUCUUAUCUAGUACAAAGAGGCAGUUUGAGGGAUUUAUGACUCCUCGUGUUUACUCCCUAGCCUUCGGAGGCUGAAGUCAGAACAUAAAUGGGUGGGCAAGACUAUAGUCAGGUAGAAGAAAUAGCCUAUCCUCUAAAUGUGAACCGCCCUUUGCCUCACAGUCUCUGAACUUGUGGAACUGGAAAAGUGAAGACUUUUGUAGUGGGCAGUGCUCUUAAGUGACUGAGGACGUGACGGGUCUUGUGCUCAUGAAGCUGGAUCUAGGUAGUGAGGAAUUGAAGGCAGGAUUCCCAUGUGGAUUAAAAAUAAUAGUUACUGGAAAUUUUCAUCUCAAUGUGCUGCGUACUGGGGUUCUGGACACAUCCAGUGUAUUUCUAGAACCUUCCCUUCCUUCCCUCCACCCUUCUCUCUUUCUCCCUUUCUCUCUUUUUCUCAACCCUCCCUCCUUUCCUUUCUUCCUUUCUGUACCCUCUCCUUCUCUCUUCUUCCCUCCCUUCCUUUGCCAUUUUCCUUCCCAUUCUUCCUUUCUUCCAUCCCUUUUCCUCCCUUUUAAAGAUUUUUUUUAGUUGACACAGCAUUAUAGGAGACAGUAAGCCACGCCUGUUACAGGCUGGCUACAGGUAUGCCUUACUGUCCCCUACAAUUCCCCUUUAAUAGCUUGGGAUAAAGAUAUCCUUUAUUAGAAAAACACCAGCCAAACGCAAGCCAGAUUAUGCCAGUAGCAGCAAGGCAGGGAGGCCAGAGAGAAAAGGGGCUCCCAUGUACUUUGCCGUCCCUUAAGAACCCCUCACUCAUCAUCCUGACCUCACCUUGACCACGCCCUGACAGGUGUAGUCAGGCUCACCUGUAGCCAGCCUCUAACAGGCAUGGCUUACUGUGCCCUACACAGCAUCACUGUGUGUAGCCCAACUAGCAUCUAAUUAUCUUAAACUUCUGAUCCUGUUGCAUUUGCCCCCCUUGGAUCAUAGGUAUAUACCAGCAUGCUCAGUUUAGGAGCACUAUUGUUUUGUUGUUGUUUGGAGCCUUGUUCUUAAUAAAGUACUCGAAAUGAAUAUUAGCCAUCUGCUGUAUUGAUUAGACAAACAACAGCUAUGUGGAGUAGCAUACGUUGUCAAAUAUAAGAAUAUGAAUUAACUAGCACAAUUAAGUUACAAUGCCUAUUCAAAUAUCCCUCCUCUGUAACUGUACUUUUGGUGUUGAUGAGUGUCUUGAUUAUCAAGUGUAUAUAUUUUCCAGAAACACUUCAGUUUGAUUGAACGGAGG